rnacentral:lncRNA from 1 species
GUUCUGUGCCUUUCCAUCCUCAUUUCCAGCUAGCCUCUCUCCUCCCAGUGCUUGUUUUGUUGCAGCAUGUAAAGCCUAGGUCCUGUUGAGGUGAGGUGGUAUGGUCCACAUCUGUCAUAGUGCUGCAGGAACACCUCAGACCCUGUACAGCUCUCAGGAGUUUAGCAAAAGUAAUGGUCGCUUGAAGGAUGAGAGCUCCUGCAGCACUGAGACUUGAACCAGUUUUAGAAACACUCCCUGUGCUGAGCUGCAGCCCGAACCUCACAGGCGGGAUGGACCAGAAUUAGCUGUACCCAGGGAACUUGAGAAGAGAAGGAAAGACCAAUGGAUGUCAUUCCUUCAUUUGCUAACUGGAGUAACCUGGUACUGAAGAGAGAGAGUCCUGAGUCAGGAGAGGUCAAUACCACAGUGGUGCAUUUGCCAUGCUGCCCUUUCCUCCACAGCAGAGCAGAGGACUGUGGAUGAACCAGGGCCUUCCUCUCUCGGGACCCUGUCUGCAUCAUGGGGAGUAAUGAAGAGGAUUUGUCAUUGCCUCCAGCUGCCAUUUAAAACUGCCUCUGCUCCCUACAGAAAGCAGUGUAGAUGUUUUGCAAAGGUGAAUGCC